GCUCCUGUAGCUCAAUGGUUAGAGCAGGGGACUCAUAAUCCCUUGGUUGUCGGUUCGAGUCCGGCCGGGAGCACCA
rnacentral:tRNA from 1 species